UGAGGAAUAUUGGUCAAUGGGAGGAAUCCUGAACCAGCCAUGCCGCGUGCAGGACGACGGCUCUACGAGUUGUAAACUGCUUUUGUACCGGGGUAAAAUGCCUUACGAGUAGGGUUUUGAAAGUACGGUACGAAUAAGGAUCGGCUAACUCCGUGCCAGCAGCCGCGGUAAUACGGAGGAUCCGAGCGUUAUCCGGAUUCAUUGGGUUUAAAGGGUGCGUAGGUUGUUUUAUAAGUUAGCGGUGAAAUACCGAUGCUCAACAUCGGGGCUGCCGCUAAUACUGUAGGACUAGAGAUCGGAUGC
rnacentral:rRNA from 1 species